UACGGAGGGUGCGAGCGUUGUCCGGAAUCACUGGGCGUAAAGGGCGCGUAGGCGGUCACGCACGUCCGUUGUGAAAUCGCUCGGCUCAACUGGGCGGGGUCAGCGGAUACGGCGUGGCUGGAGCAAGCUAGGGGGCAAUGGAAUUCCCGGUGUAGUGGUGGAAUGCGUAGAUAUCGGGAGGAACACCAGUGGCGAAGGCGGUUGCCUGGAGCUUUGCUGACGCUGAUGCGCGAAAGCGUGGGGAGCGAGUCCGG
rnacentral:rRNA from 1 species